rnacentral:tRNA from 1 species
AACGGGGGCGUAGCUCAGAUGGUAGAGCGCUCGCUUAGCAUGCGAGAGGUACCGGGAUCGAUACCCGGCGCCUCCAAUCUCGACUGUCUUUUU